rnacentral:rRNA from 1 species
GUGCCAGCAGCCGCGGUAAUACGUAGGGUGCAAGCGUUAUCCGGAAUCACUGGGCGUAAAGCGUGCGUAGGUGGAUGUUUAAGUGAGAUGUUAAAUCGUGUGGCUCAACCAUAUCGUUGCAUCUCAUACUGGACGUCUAGAGGACGGCAGAGGCAAGUGGAACUAGCAGUGUAGCAGUGAAAUGCGUAGAUAUUGCUAAGAACACCAAUGGCGAAGGCAGCUUGCUGGGCCACUCCUGACACUGAGGUACGAAAGCGUGGGGAGCGAACAGGAUUAGAUACCCUUGUAGUCC